GCUAGAAUAGCUUAGUUGAUUAAAAGCGUGUGGUUGUUAAUCACAAGGUCAGAGGUUCAAGCUCUCCUUCUAGUG
rnacentral:tRNA from 1 species